CUCUACCCAUCACCACCUGUCCAUUCUGGAGAUCUGCUUCUGACCUCUUCCCAGAACUGACCGUUUGAAAACUAUAUAUCCCUAAGCAGACAGGAUCUGAGAACCGAGGGUCCACCUGAGUGGGAGGAGUUACUCUUUGAAGGCAACAAGCAUGGAGACUGGAAGUUAAUGAUUAGACCCACCUUCUUGCACAGAAGGAAACUAAAUCCGAUCAACCAGAGGAGCCCGAAGAAAAUGAAUAAGUGGCAGAAAACCUUAUAAAAAGAAAACAAAAAGUCUGCUGCAAAACCACAGCCCCUGUGACAAUCAGAGGGGGAAGACACAGGAGCCCAGAACAGAAAACGACCUCCUGUUGGUUAUAAAUCUGAUGAUAAGGUCCAUGGAGAAUGCUGGAUAUGUGCUCCCUGGCUGUUUGGGCCCCAACAUAGUGGAGCCC
ensembl:lncRNA